rnacentral:rRNA from 1 species
CGCCUUAUACUCCUACGGGAGGCAGCAGUGGGGAAUAUUGCACAAUGGGGGAAACCCUGAUGCAGCCAUGCCGCGUGUGUGAAGAAGGCCUUCGGGUUGUAAAGCACUUUCAGCGAGGAGGAAAGGUUGAUACCUAAUACGUAUCAACUGUGACGUUACUCGCAGAAGAAGCACCGGCUAACUCCGUGCCAGCAGCCGCGGUAAUACGGAGGGUGCAAGCGUUAAUCGGAAUUACUGGGCGUAAAGCGCACGCAGGCGGUUGGAUAAGUUAGAUGUGAAAGCCCCGGGCUCAACCUGGGAAUUGCAUUUAAAACUGUCCAGCUAGAGUCUUGUAGAGGGGGGUAGAAUUCCAGGUGUAGCGGUGAAAUGCGUAGAGAUCUGGAGGAAUACCGGUGGCGAAGGCGGCCCCCUGGACAAAGACUGAUGCUCAGGUGCGAAAGCGUGGGGAGCAAACAGGAUUAGAAACCCUAGUAGUCCACGUACCA